rnacentral:rRNA from 1 species
AUUGAACGCUGGCGGCAGGCCUAACACAUGCAAGUCGAGCGGUAGAGAGGUGCUUGCAUCUCUUGAGAGCGGCGGACGGGUGAGUAAUGCCUAGGAAUCUGCCUAGUGGUGGGGGAUAACGUUCGGAAACGGACGCUAAUACCGCAUACGUCCUACGGGAGAAAGCGGGGGAUCUUCGGACCUCGCGCCAUUAGAUGAGCCUAGGUCGGAUUAGCUAGUUGGUGAGGUAAUGGCUCACCAAGGCGACGAUCCGUAACUGGUCUGAGAGGAUGAUCAGUCACACUGGAACUGAGACACGGUCCAGACUCCUACGGGAGGCAGCAGUGGGGAAUAUUGGACAAUGGGCGAAAGCCUGAUCCAGCCAUGCCGCGUGUGUGAAGAAGGUCUUCGGAUUGUAAAGCACUUUAAGUUGGGUAGGAAGGGUAGUAACCUAAUACGUUGCUACUUUGACGUUACCGACAGAAUAAGCACCGGCUAACUUCGUG